rnacentral:lncRNA from 1 species
AGGCCAAAAAAAAAAGUAUUGAGAAUUGUAAAGGUACAAUUAGUAAAGAGUUACCUACUCUUGAACUUAUAAAUACUUGUUAUGCUAUCCACAAGGUAUUUGUAAGGAAUAGGGAUCUCAAUCCCACUAAGAAAUAUUAGUAUGUUUCUCGAUUUUCAUAUUUGAGGGCUAUGAAGUUCAAUAAAAUUGUGAAAGACACAAUUAGACAAAAGUUUUAAUCUAAUUGUGCAUGUCAUCAUGAGUCAUCCGCUUAUAUUG